AUUGAACGCUGGCGGCAGGCCUAACACAUGCAAGUCGAGCGAGCGGCGGACGGGUGAGUAAUGUAUGGGGACCUGCCUGAUGGCGGGGGAUAACUACUGGAAACGGUAGCUAAUACCGCAUACCAUCAGAUGAACCCAAAUGGGAUUAGCUUGUAGGUGAGGUAACGGCUCACCGAGGCGAAGAUCCCUAGCUGGUCUGAGAGGAGGAACGGCCACACUGGUACUGAGACACGGCCCAGACUCCUACGGGAGGCAGCAGUGGGGAAUAUUGCACAAUGGGCGCAAGCCUGAUGCAGCAAUGCCGCGUGUAUGAAGAAGGCCUUCGGGUUGUAAAGUACUUUCAGUCGGGAGGCGUUACCGACAGAAGAAGCCCCGGCUAACUCCGUGCCAGCAGCCGCGGUAAUUC
rnacentral:rRNA from 1 species